ACCCCUGGUUGAGAACCACUGUUGUGUAGCCUUUGGUUCUAUUUGACUUUUUUUUUAACCACGUGCACAUUAUUUCUAUAAUUAAACAUUUAACUGAGGUCACAAGACCGAAGAGGAAAUAUGAAGCUGUUAUAAGGAACCAGAACAACUAAGUAGAGAAUAUACCUGUAAUCCCAGUACUUUGGGAGGCCUAGGCGGGUGGAUCACGAGGUCAGAAAUGAAGAGAGUAUCUGAGUCUUGGAACUAGAGGAGCAGGAUCCUGAAGUCCCACAUAGUCCUGUCACUGAGGUCCCUGUCAGGCCUCUGAGCCCAAGAAAAGCCAUUAUAUCCCCUGUGACCUGCACGGAUACAUCCAGAUGGCCUGAAGCAACUGAAGAUCCACAAAAGAAGUUAAAAUAGCCAGUUCCUGCCUUAACUGAUAACAUUCCACCAUUGUGAUUUGUUUCUGCCCCACCCUAACUGAUCAAUUGACUUUGUGACAAUACACCCUCCCCACCCUUGCGAUAAGUACUUUGUGAUAUUCCCCCACCCUUGUGAAUGUACUUUGUACGAUACACCCUCCCCACCCUUAAGA
rnacentral:lncRNA from 10 species